CUGAGUAACCCUUCUCUUCUGUUUUUUUGCAUCCUCACCACUCUCUCUGCUCGCAUUAAUAUCCCUUCCAAACCCCAACCCUGCUGCUCCACAUCUCCUUCAUCCCUCUCAAACAACUCCAGGUUUUGUCUUCUUACAAGUAUUAUGAGAAGAAGUGUCCUCCUCGUUCAGCACUUAGAUUCGUUGUACACUUCUUCUUUUUUGCGGGGUUUUCUGUUGCGGUUAUAGUUUCAGGAAUCAAGUGAAGAAAAUGGAGGAGGGUCAUCAUGAUCUUUCAAAGGUUACAGUGGCUGGUGAUCCUCAGUUACUCCAAAACAAAGUUAAUGCAGUUGAUUUGGCUGGUCCUGCUAAACUUCAGGAUGAUGCACUAUGUGGGGGGGUAGUCAAGCUUGUUUCCCAGAUGUGCUCAACAGUCAACUGAAGGGGCUUGCUUUCUACAUCAACAAAUUCUUUAGCUCAUCCCUGGCUUUGACCAAGUGGAGAUGUGAACUAGACUUAACCCUAACUCAUGAUAUUCUUUCUUCUCAAUGUGCCAUUCAAAGUAAGUCAUGGAUUGUCAUUUCCCAGAGCAAGGAUGCUGGCAAAAGAUGCUCAUUAUUUUGCUAGAAUGGUCGGGAUUCAAGAUAAAAUAUUUGAAGUUUCAUUGGAUCCGAAAGCAAUUAGAUCUUGUAUGAUGCUAAGAAUCUACGUAUUCAAGACCGAUGGUUAUUUAUGCCAUCCUUUAUUUAAGUCCAUUUUAUCUUCUCCUUUA